rnacentral:rRNA from 1 species
GAUGAACGCUGGCGGCGUGCCUAAUACAUGCAAGUCGAGCGAACAGAUAAGGAGCUUGCUCCUUUGACGUUAGCGGCGGACGGGUGAGUAACACGUGGAUAACCUACCUAUAAGACUGGGAUAACUUCGGGAAACCGGAGCUAAUACCGGAUAACAUAUUGAACCGCAUGGUUCAAUAGUGAAAGGCGGCUUUGCUGUCACUUAUAGAUGGAUCCGCGCCGUAUUAGCUAGUUGGUAAGGUAACGGCUUACCAAGGCAACGAUACGUAGCCGACCUGAGAGGGUGAUCGGCCACACUGGAACUGAGACACGGUCCAGACUCCUACGGGAGGCAGCAGUAGGGAAUCUUCCGCAAUGGGCGAAAGCCUGAUGGAGCAACGCCGCGUGAGUGAUGAAGGUCUUCGGAUCGUAAAACUCUGUUAUCAGGGAAGAACAAAUGUGUAAGUAACUGUGCACAUCCUGACGGUACCUGAUCAGAAAGCCACGGCUAACUACGUG